AUUGAACGCUGGCGGCAGGCCUAACACAUGCAAGUCGAACGGUAACAGGAAGAAGCUUGCUUCUUUGCUGACGAGUGGCGGACGGGUGAGUAAUGUCUGGGAAACUGCCUGAUGGAGGGGGAUAACUACUGGAAACGGUAGCUAAUACCGCAUAACGUCGCAAGACCAAAGAGGGGGACCUUCGGGCCUCUUGCCAUCGGAUGUGCCCAGAUGGGAUUAGCUAGUAGGUGGGGUAACGGCUAACCUAGGCGACGAUCCCUAGCUGGUCUGAGAGGAUGACCAGCCACACUGGAACUGAGACACGGUCCAGACUCCUACGGGAGGCAGCAGUGGGGAAUAUUGCACAAUGGGCGCAAGCCUGAUGCAGCCAUGCCGCGUGUAUGAAGAAGGCCUUCGGGUUGUAAAGUACUUUCAGCGGGGAGGAAGGGAGUAAAGUUAAUACCUUUGCUCAUUGACGUUACCCGCAGAAGAAGCACCGGCUAACUCCGUG
rnacentral:rRNA from 1 species